ensembl:lncRNA
GUGAGUAACACCUUCUAAUAUUAGAUUAUCUAAGACUGUAGAUUCCAUCUUAGAUUUCUUUCUCUCUGUCUCUUGGAUAUCUCACUCUCGGGAAGCCAGCUGCCAUGACUUCAGGACACCCAGGCAGCCUAUGGAGAAGCCCACGUGGCAAGAAAAUGAGGUCUCCAGCCUGGGGCCAGACAGGAACCGAGGCCUGCCAAAACCGCAUGAGUCUGGAAGUCUUCAAACAACUACAUUCCCAGCUGACAGCUUCAUUGCACCUCAGGAAAGACCUCAAGCCAGAACCAGCCAGUCAAGUAAUAGGUCAGGAACUUCCCUGAACCACAUCACAUUUGAAUUACUGAAAAAUAAAUCGUCUACAAUUCCACUGGAUAACCUCUUGCUUUCAGUGAGGGCUGUUAUCAAGAGCUAUAAAGAAGACAGCACUUCAUAUUUAUCCUUGGAGGCCUUUCUGGAACACUUUGGCAUCUUCUGGUGAAAUUCGGUGCUUUUCAACUAAUACUAAACGUGUAUUCCACGACUGAACUGAACUGAACUGAACUGAAAUGUGUAUUCAGAUGGGUUGAUGGCUCCUAACAUCUCAGUUUAAGAAAAAUUUGUCAUAAUAACCUCUAAAGAAUCUUAGCCUGAUCUCAUAAUGCCCCAAUCAGAGAAGAACGUGUAAAACCUAAGUCAAAAUGAAGCGCACAAAUAUUGCAAAUGGCAGUUUAGUGAAAUGGAGAUAGAGGUCAAAGUGUUCGGGGUGCACAUAAAUCCAGAGAGCUCU